rnacentral:rRNA from 1 species
CGCAUCUGUGCAUGCAGCAUAUCAAUAAGCGGAGGAAAAGAAACUAACAAGGAUUCCCUUAGUAACGGCGAGUGAAGCGGGAAGAGCUCAAAUUUGAAAUCUUCAAGGUUUUACCUUGACGAAUUGUAGUUUAAAGAAGUGUUUUCUGUUGAAGUUUUGGUAAAAGUUCUUUGGAAUAGGACAUCAUAGAGGGUGAGAAUCCCGUAUUUGACCAUUAUUUUCAGCUGUGUGAUACACUUUCAAAGAGUCGGAUUGUUUGGGAAUGCAGUCCAAAAUGGGUGGUAAAUUUCAUCUAAAGCUAAAUAUUGGCGAGAGACCGAUAGCGAACAAGUACCGUGAGGGAAAGAUGAAAAGAACUUUGAAAAGAGAGUUAAACAGUACGUGAAAUUGUCAAAAGGGAAGCGUUUGACACCAGUGUUGUUUUCUCGAAAAUCAAUUAAAAAGAGUUAGAUUCUGUUGUGUAUUGACCUUAACAGCUUGCAUUUCAAUUUUCUUGCUUUUUUUAAUGCACUUUUCGUUUAACAAGUCAACAUCAGUUUCUUUUGUUGUAAAAAGGUCAUUGGAAGGUGGCUUUCUUUUCGGAGAAAGUGUUUAUAGCCUUUGACUCCUGCAAUCGGAGAGACUGAGGUCUGCAGCGUAGAUCCUUCGGGGUUAGAUACAUUUGUGCUAAGCUACUAGCUUUUUCAUAGACAACUUGUUGACUAUGAUUUAGUCUUGUAGCUUACUCGCUUAUGCUAUUUUACCUACGCUUAGGAUGUUGACGCGCGUGUGUGCGUG